rnacentral:rRNA from 1 species
AUUGAACGCUGGCGGUAUGCUUAACACAUGCAAGUCGAACGAGUGGCGGACGGGUGAGUAAUGCAUAGGAAUCUACCUUUUAGUCUAGGAUAACUCCCCGAACGGGUGGCUAAUCCUGGAUGCUAAGAGAUGAGCCUAUGUGGGAUUAGCUAGUUGGUUGGGUAAUGGCUCACAAAGGCGACGAUCUCUAGCUGGGUUGAGAGGAUGAUCAGCCACACUGGGACGGAGACACGGCCCAGACUCCGACGGGAGGCAGCAGUGGGGAAUAUUGGACAAUGGGCGAAAGCCUGAUCCAGCAAUACCGCGUGUGUGAAGAAGGCCUUAGGGUUGUAAAGUACUUUCAGCGGGGAGGCGUUACCCGCAGAAGAAGCACCGGCUAACUCCGUGCCAGCAGCCGCGGUAAUUC